UACGUAGGUGGCAAGCGUUAUCCGGAUUUACUGGGUGUAAAGGGCGUGUAGGCGGGGACGCAAGUCAGAUGUGAAAACCACGGGCUCAACCUGUGGCCUGCAUUUGAAACUGUGUUUCUUGAGUACUGGAGAGGCAGACGGAAUUCCUAGUGUAGCGGUGAAAUGCGUAGAUAUUAGGAGGAACACCAGUGGCGAAAGCGGCUCUCUGGCCUGUAACUGACACUGAGGCUCGAAAGCGUGGGGAGCAAACAGG
rnacentral:rRNA from 1 species